rnacentral:rRNA from 1 species
AUUGAACGCUGGCGGCAGGCCUAACACAUGCAAGUCGAGCGGAUGAAGGGAGCUUGCUCCUGGAUUCAGCGGCGGACGGGUGAGUAAUGCCUAGGAAUCUGCCUGGUAGUGGGGGAUAACGUCCGGAAACGGGCGCUAAUACCGCAUACGUCCUGAGGGAGAAAGUGGGGGAUCUUCGGACCUCACGCUAUCAGAUGAGCCUAGGUCGGAUUAGCUAGUUGGUGGGGUAAAGGCCUACCAAGGCGACGAUCCGUAACUGGUCUGAGAGGAUGAUCAGUCACACUGGAACUGAGACACGGUCCAGACUCCUAAGAGAGGCAGCAGUGGGGAAUAUUGGACAAUGGGCGAAAGCCUGAUCCAGCCAUGCCGCGUGUGUGAAGAAGGUCUUCGGAUUGUAAAGCACUUUAAGUUGGGAGGAAGGGCAGUAAGUUAAUACCUUGCUGUUUUGACGUUACCAACAGAAUAAGCACCGGCUAACUUCGUG